rnacentral:rRNA from 1 species
AGUGAACGCUGGCGGUAGGCCUAACACAUGCAAGUCGAACGGCAGCACAGUAAGAGCUUGCUCUUACGGGUGGCGAGUGGCGUACGUGUGAGGAAUACAUCGUAAUCUACUUUUUCGUGUGGGUUAACGUAGGGAAACUUACUCUAAUACCGCAUACGACCUACGGUUGAAAGCAUGGGAUCUUCUGACCUUUCGCGAUUGAAUGAGCCGAUUUCGGAUUAGAUAGUUGGCGGGGUAAUGGCCCACCAAGGCGACGAUCCGUAGAUGGUCUGAGUGGAUGAUCAGCAAAAGUGGAACGGAGACAGGGACCAGAGUACGACGGGAGGGAGCAGGGGGGAAUAUUGGACAGUGGGGGAAAGCAUGAUACAGCAAGACCGAGUGGGAGAAGAAGGCGUUGGGGUUGUAAAGCCGUUUUGUUGGGAAAAAAAAGAAGCAGGUUAAUACCAAGCUGUUCUGACGGUAACAAAAGAAAAAGCACCGGCUAACUACGUG